GAACUGAAACAUCUUAUUAGCCAGAGGAAAAUAAAGCAAAAGCGAUUUCCUUAUUAGCGGCGAGCUAACUGGAAACAGCCUAAACCUUUUAGGUGUAGUGGGACUAAGAAAAUUAAUUAAAAAUAAUUCGAAUUCGUUGAUAGCGAAAUCAUAGAUGGUUGAAAAUCCAGUAGAAUUAUAAUUAAGUUAUAUUUUAGCUCCCAAGUAUCAUAGAGCACGUGGAAUUCUGUGUGAAUCAGCGAGGACCACCUCGUAAGGCUAAAUACUUUUCAGUGACCGAUAGUGAACUAGUACCGCGAGGGAAAGGUGAAAAGAACCCUGGAAAGGGAGUGAAAUAGAUCAUGAAAACAUAAGCUUACAAGCAGUAGGAGGUCUAUUUGAAGACUGACUGUGUGCCUGUUGAAGAAUGUGCCGGCGACUUAUAGAUGAUGGCUUGGUUAAAAUUUUAAGAAUUGGAGCCAAAGUGAAAACGAGUUUGAAUAAAGCGUUAUGUCAUUGUUUAUAGACCCGAACCCGGGUGAUCUAAUCAUGACCAGGAUGAAGCUUGAGUAAAGUUAAGUGGAGGUCCGAACCCACCAAUGUUGAAAAAUUGGGGGAUGAGUUGUGAUUAGCAGAGAAAUUCCAGUCGAACUCGGAGCUAGCUGGAUCUCUUCGAAAUGCGUUUAGGCGCAGCAAUUAACUAUGGACUGUUCAGGGGUAAAGCACUGUUUCGAUGCGGGCUAUGAAAGUAGUACUAAGUUGUAGCAAACUCAGAAUACUGAACAUGAUUAAACAGUUAGUUAGUGAGACAGUGGGGGAUAAGCUUCAUUGUCAAGAGGGAAACAGCCCAGAUCACCAUUUAAGGCCCCUAAAUGAUUACUAAGUGGUAAAGGAUGUAAUAGUACCUAGACAACCAGGACAUUAGCCUAGAAGCAGCGAUUGUUUAAAAAGUGCGUAAUAGCUUACUGGUCAAGUGCUUUUGCGCCGAAAAUGUAUGGGACUAAGUAAUCUGCCGAAAGUGUGAGUAAUACGGUAGAAGAGCGUUCUACUAUUGUUUGAAGUAAUAGCGUGAGCAGUUAUGGACUAAGUAGAAGUGAGAAUGUCGGCUUAAGUAACGAAAACAUUGGUUGAAAUCCAAUGCUCUGAAAACCUAAGGAUUCCUCCGCAAGGCUCGUCCACGGGGGGUUAGUCAGGUUCUAAGACGAGGUUUAAAAACGUAGUUGAUGAAUAACAGGUUAAUAUUCCUGUACUAUAUUCUGGUUAGUUAAGAAGGACGGAAAAGGCUAGGUCAGCCAAAGAUUGGUUGUUUUGGUUUAAGUAUCCGAGGUGUUGAAAAACGUAAAAGAAUAUGUUUGGAGCUAAGGUACGAAUACGAGAUACUACGGUGUCAAAAGUGUCUGAUGUCAUGUUCCCAAGAAAAUUUAUUGUAACGUUUAAUCCAGAGUAUACCUGUACCUUAAACCGACACAGGUAGGUUGGUAGAGAAUACCAAGGAGCGCGAGAGAACUCUUUUUAAGGAACUCGGCAAAAUAACCCUGUAACUUCGGGAGAAGGGGUGCCCAAAAGGGUCGCAGUGAUCAGGUCCAAGCGGCUGUUUAUCAAAAACACAGGUCUCCGCUAAGUCGAAAGACGAUGUAUGGGGGCUGACGCCUGCCCAGUGCCGGAAGGUUACAGAAAUUGGUUAGUCGUAAGGCGAAGCUAGUGACUUAAGCCCUGGUGAACGGCAGCAGUAACUAUAACUGUUCUAAUGUAGCGAAAUUCCUUGUCGGGUAAGUUCCGACCCGCACGAAAGGCGUAACGAUUUGGAUACUGUCUCAAAAAGAGGCUCGGUGAAAUAGAAUUGACUGUGAAGAUGCGGUCUACUUGCACUUGGACAGAAAGACCCUAUGAAGCUUUACUGUAACUUGAUAUUGGUUUUGGACUUUUUUUGCGCAGUAUAAGUGGGAGGCAUUGAUCUUCUCUUUCGGGGGACUGGGAGCCACAAAUGAGAUACCACUCUAAAAAAGUUAAAAAUCUAAUGGCAUACUUUAAUUAAGAUGCUUGACAGUUUCAGGCGGGCAGUUUUACUGGGGCGGUAGCCUCCUAAAAGGUAACGGAGGCGUACAAAGGUUUUCUCAAGCUGGACGGAAAUUAGUUGUAGAGUGUAAAGACAAAAGAAAGCUUAACUGUUAGACUUAUAAGUCAAGCAGAGACGAAAGUCGGUCUUAGUGAUCCGACGGUGCUGUGUGGAAAGACCGUCGCUUAACAGAUAAAAGUUACUCUAGGGAUAACAGGCUGAUCUCCCCCAAGAGUUCACAUCGACGGGGAGGUUUGGCACCUCGAUGUCGGCUCAUCGCAACCUGGAGCGGUAGUACGUUCCAAGGGUUGGGCUGUUCGCCCAUUAAAGCGGUACGUGAGCUGGGUUCAGAACGUCGAGAGACAGUUCGGUCCAUAUCCGGUGUAAGCGUUAGAGUAUUGAGAGGAGCUUUCCUUAGUACGAGAGGACCGGGAAAGACACACCACUGGUGUACCAGUUCUUGUGCCAACAGGAGACGCUGGGUAGUCACGUGUGGAGAGGAUAACUGCUGAAAGCAUAUAAGUAGGAAGCCCACCUUUAGAUUAGUACUCUUUAAACUUUAAGUUUAGUAAGGUCACGGCAAGACUAGCCGUUUUAUAGGUAUUAGGUAUAAGAUUUGUAAGGGUUUGAGCCGAAAUAUACUAACAGACCGAGU
rnacentral:rRNA from 1 species